rnacentral:rRNA from 1 species
GUACGUAGGGGGCAAGCGUUGUUCGGAAUUACUGGGCGUAAAGGGCGCGUAGGCGGUACGACAAGUCGGGAGUGAAAGCCCGGGGCUCAACCCCGGGACUGCUUUCGAAACUGUCGAACUUGAGUGCAGAAGAGGCAACUGGAAUCCCAGUGUAGCGGUGAAAUGCGUAGGAUAUGGGAAGAACACCUGAGGCGAAGGCGGGUGCUGGG